UUAAGCGACUAAGCGUACACGGUGGAUGCCCUGGCAGUCAGAGGCGAUGAAGGGCGUGCUAAUCUGCGAUAAGCGCCGGUAAGGUGAUAUGAACCGUUAUAACCGGCGAUACCCGAAUGGGGAAACCCAGUGUGACUCGUCACACUAUCAUUAACUGAAUCCAUAGGUUAAUGAGGCGAACCGGGGGAACUGAAACAUCUAAGUACCCCGAGGAAAAGAAAUCAACCGAGAUUCCCCCAGUAGCGGCGAGCGAACGGGGAGGAGCCCAGAGCCUGAAUCAGCAUGUGUGUUAGUGGAAGCGUCUGGAAAGGCGCGCGAUACAGGGUGACAGCCCCGUACACAAAAGCGCAUAUGCUGUGAGCUCGAUGAGUAGGGCGGGACACGUGGUAUCCUGUCUGAAUAUGGGGGGACCAUCCUCCAAGGCUAAAUACUCCUGACUGACCGAUAGUGAACCAGUACCGUGAGGGAAAGGCGAAAAGAACCCCGGCGAGGGGAGUGAAAAAGAACCUGAAACCGUGUACGUACAAGCAGUGGGAGCACCCUUUGGGGUGUGACUGCGUACCUUUUGUAUAAUGGGUCAGCGACUUAUAUUCUGUAGCAAGGUUAACCGAAUAGGGGAGCCGGAGGGAAACCGAGUCUUAACCGGGCGUUAAGUUGCAGGGUAUAGACCCGAAACCCGGUGAUCUAGCCAUGGGCAGGUUGAAGGUUGGGUAACACUAACUGGAGGACCGAACCGACUAAUGUUGAAAAAUUAGCGGAUGACCUGUGGCUGGGGGUGAAAGGCCAAUCAAACCGGGAGAUAGCUGGUUCUCCCCGAAAGCUAUUUAGGUAGCGCCUCGUGAAUUCAUCUCCGGGGGUAGAGCACUGUUUCGGCUAGGGGGCCAUCCCGGCUUACCAACCCGAUGCAAACUGCGAAUACCGGAGAAUGUUAUCACGGGAGACACACGGCGGGUGCUAACGUCCGUCGUGAAGAGGGAAACAACCCAGACCGCCAGCUAAGGUCCCAAAGUCAUGGUUAAGUGGGAAACGAUGUGGGAAGGCCCAGACAGCCAGGAUGUUGGCUUAGAAGCAGCCAUCAUUUAAAGAAAGCGUAAUAGCUCACUGGUCGAGUCGGCCUGCGCGGAAGAUGUAACGGGGCUAAACCAUGCACCGAAGCUGCGGCAGCGACGCUUAUGCGUUGUUGGGUAGGGGAGCGUUCUGUAAGCCUGUGAAGGUGGCCUGUGAGGGUUGCUGGAGGUAUCAGAAGUGCGAAUGCUGACAUAAGUAACGAUAAAGCGGGUGAAAAGCCCGCUCGCCGGAAGACCAAGGGUUCCUGUCCAACGUUAAUCGGGGCAGGGUGAGUCGACCCCUAAGGCGAGGCCGAAAGGCGUAGUCGAUGGGAAACAGGUUAAUAUUCCUGUACUUGGUGUUACUGCGAAGGGGGGACGGAGAAGGCUAUGUUGGCCGGGCGACGGUUGUCCCGGUUUAAGCGUGUAGGUGUGUGUUCCAGGUAAAUCCGGUUCACUUUAACACUGAGGCGUGAUGACGAGGCACUACGGUGCUGAAGCAACAAAUGCCCUGCUUCCAGGAAAAGCCUCUAAGCAUCAGGUAACAUCAAAUCGUACCCCAAACCGACACAGGUGGUCAGGUAGAGAAUACCAAGGCGCUUGAGAGAACUCGGGUGAAGGAACUAGGCAAAAUGGUGCCGUAACUUCGGGAGAAGGCACGCUGACACGUAGGUGAAGUGAUUUACUCACGGAGCUGAAGUCAGUCGAAGAUACCAGCUGGCUGCAACUGUUUAUUAAAAACACAGCACUGUGCAAACACGAAAGUGGACGUAUACGGUGUGACGCCUGCCCGGUGCCGGAAGGUUAAUUGAUGGGGUCAGCGCAAGCGAAGCUCCUGAUCGAAGCCCCGGUAAACGGCGGCCGUAACUAUAACGGUCCUAAGGUAGCGAAAUUCCUUGUCGGGUAAGUUCCGACCUGCACGAAUGGCGUAAUGAUGGCCAGGCUGUCUCCACCCGAGACUCAGUGAAAUUGAACUCGCUGUGAAGAUGCAGUGUACCCGCGGCAAGACGGAAAGACCCCGUGAACCUUUACUAUAGCUUGACACUGAACAUUGAGCCUUGAUGUGUAGGAUAGGUGGGAGGCUUUGAAGCGUGGACGCCAGUCUGCGUGGAGCCGACCUUGAAAUACCACCCUUUAAUGUUUGAUGUUCUAACGUGGACCCGUAAUCCGGGUUGCGGACAGUGUCUGGUGGGUAGUUUGACUGGGGCGGUCUCCUCCUAAAGAGUAACGGAGGAGCACGAAGGUUGGCUAAUCCUGGUCGGACAUCAGGAGGUUAGUGCAAUGGCAUAAGCCAGCUUGACUGCGAGCGUGACGGCGCGAGCAGGUGCGAAAGCAGGUCAUAGUGAUCCGGUGGUUCUGAAUGGAAGGGCCAUCGCUCAACGGAUAAAAGGUACUCCGGGGAUAACAGGCUGAUACCGCCCAAGAGUUCAUAUCGACGGCGGUGUUUGGCACCUCGAUGUCGGCUCAUCACAUCCUGGGGCUGAAGUAGGUCCCAAGGGUAUGGCUGUUCGCCAUUUAAAGUGGUACGCGAGCUGGGUUUAGAACGUCGUGAGACAGUUCGGUCCCUAUCUGCCGUGGGCGCUGGAGAACUGAGGGGGGCUGCUCCUAGUACGAGAGGACCGGAGUGGACGCAUCACUGGUGUUCGGGUUGUCAUGCCAAUGGCACUGCCCGGUAGCUAAAUGCGGAAGAGAUAAGUGCUGAAAGCAUCUAAGCACGAAACUUGCCCCGAGAUGAGUUCUCCCUGAGACUUAGAGUCUCCUGAAGGAACGUUGAAGACGACGACGUUGAUAGGCCGGGUGUGUAAGCGCAGCGAUGCGUUGAGCUAACCGGUACUAAUGAACCGUGAGGCUUAACCUU
rnacentral:rRNA from 1 species